GAAUAGCUGAAAGCAUUUCCUUACUGGUGCCCGCUGCAUGCCACACACAGUUUUCUAGUUCUUAUUUACUGUGUUAGGACGUGACCGCUUCUGGACAUAGUGCAGAGGGGAUGGACAAACAGUCAGAGUAAGGGCAUUUGUGCAAUGUCAGUUUUCCAGUAGAGAUGUGAAGAUAUUAGCUCUGUGUGUGGAUAUGAAAUACAUUAUUGCCUGGAGCCUCUUAAAAGCGGCCAAUUUAUUUAUAUUCUUCAUGGGUUAGAUGUCUAUUGCUGGGAUUUAUGGCAAACAUCUGAUCUAAAGGUAGUUGUAGGCUUGACAACAAAAGUGAUAAAGAAGCUGUGGAGGGCAAUGAAAAUUGAUGGGGAAAGAGAGUGAUGAACAGCAAAAGUGCCAUUAUGGUCAAGUGAUAAGGUAGAAGGUGGAAGGGAAAGAGAAAUGGGCUGUUUGCAGUAAUUUGGGUACCUUCACACUGCCUUGUUCAGUUGUCUGUGAACAUUGCUUGCUUUAUUUACUGUUGCAGUUCUUGGUAAUGUCACUGCAGUUGAGUUAAGCAUCUUACAUUUACGUGCUCGUGGCUUUUUGUUUGGGAGAUGGAAUUUCUACUGUUUUUCUGACUUUCCCAAGGAGAAAAGAAAAAUAUCUGCACUGUAAACAAAGCAGGGCUGCUAUCAGAGUGGUACUGUAACUGCUAGGGUAAAGAGCUAAAAAUUGAUGCUGGUCUUUAACUGCAGAAAUACUCUUGCUUUAUUAAACAGGGCGAACGUGCAAAAGGGAUCUCUUUUUUAUGGACAGAAGAGGGAAACAGUUUUUCAAGGCCUAGGCUAAGGUGGGGAUGAACUCAUUCUUCUGAAGCAUUGCACUUGUUAUCUUGGUGUGUUUAAGGAACUGUGUAAUCUUCCAAAAGCUUCGGUCUGGAUCUGGACUUUCACUGCAGCAGUGAAGAACAGGAGCUAAAGAAGCUGGCUAGAGUGAGUAAUGAGCUUACUGCAGUCCUGCAUCUCCAGGGUGUGUAACUGGAAGCGAUGUAAGUGAAGGGCUUCUAAACCGGAAUACCAGGAGGAAAAGAGAAACCAUUUUUAAGUGAGGUGGGAGCUGUCUUUGGAAGUUGUUUAUACUACUGCCACUACCCCUAGUGAA
rnacentral:lncRNA from 1 species